rnacentral:rRNA from 1 species
UACGGAGGGAGCUAGCGUUAUUCGGAAUUACUGGGCGUAAAGCGCACGUAGGCGGCUUUGUAAGUAAGAGGUGAAAGCCCUGGGCUCAACCCAGGAAGUGCAUUCGAAACUGUCUAGCUUGAAUCUCGGAGGGGGUCAGAGAAUUCCCGGUGUAGAGGUGAAAUUCGUAGAUAUCGGGAGGAAUACCAGUGGCGAAGGCGCUGACCUGGACGAAGAUUGACGCUGAGGUGGCGAAAGCGCGGGGAGCAAACAGG